GACGAACCGUACGAACGUUAUUCGGAAUUACUGGGCUUAAAGGGUGCGUAGGCGGCGCGGAAAGUAGGGUGUGAAAGCCCACGGCUCAACCGUGGAAGUGCAUCCGAAACUGCAUGGCUGGAGUCUCGGAGAGGAAGGUGGAAUGCUUGGUGUAGAGGUGAAAUUCGUAGAUAUCAAGCAGAACACCUGCGGCGAAGGCGGCCUUCUGGACGAUGACUGACGCUGAGACGCGAAAGCGUGGGGAGCAAACAGG
rnacentral:rRNA from 1 species